GGUCCAUUAGCUCAGUUGGUAGAGCGUCGUGCUGAUAACGCGAAGGUCGUGAGUUCAAGCCUCACAUGGACCA